GAUGAAGAACGUAGCGAAAUGCGAUACUUGGUGGGAAUUGCAGAAUCCCGUGAACCAUCGAGUCUUUGAACGCAAGUUGCGUCCGAAGCCAUUAGGCCGAGGGCACGCCUGCCUGGGCGUCACACGUCGUUGCCCCCCCAUCUACUCCUUCGGGAUUGCGGGGGGCGGAUGAUGGCCUCCCGUGCGCCUCGUCGCGCGGUUGGCAUAAAUGCCAAGUCCUCGGCGACGCACGCCACGACAAUCGGUGGUUGCGAAACCUCGGUUGCCCGUCGUGUGCGGUCGUCGCGCAUCGAGGGCUCGAAAAAAUUGCCGGGCUCCGGCUCGGCUUUCAACGCGACCCCAGGUCAGGCGGGGUUACCCGCUGAAUUUAAGCAUAUCAAUAAGCGGAGGA
rnacentral:misc_RNA from 1 species